AGAGUUUGAUCCUGGCUCAGAACGAACGCUGGCGGCGUGGAUAAGACAUGCAAGUCGAACGAGAGAAUUGCUAGCUUGCUAAUAAUUCUCUAGUGGCGCACGGGUGAGUAACACGUGAGUAACCUGCCCCCGAGAGCGGGAUAGCCCUGGGAAACUGGGAUUAAUACCGCAUAGUAUCGAAAGAUUAAAGCAGCAAUGCGCUUGGGGAUGGGCUCGCGGCCUAUUAGUUAGUUGGUGAGGUAACGGCUCACCAAGGCGAUGACGGGUAGCCGGUCUGAGAGGAUGUCCGGCCACACUGGAACUGAGACACGGUCCAGACACCUACGGGUGGCAGCAGUCGAGAAUCAUUCACAAUGGGGGAAACCCUGAUGGUGUGACGCCGCGUGGGGGAAUGAAGGUCUUCGGAUUGUAAACCCCUGUCAUGUGGGAGCAAAUUAAAAAGAUAGUACCACAAGAGGAAGAGACGGCUAACUCUGUGCCAGCAGCCGCGGUAAUACAGAGGUCUCAAGCGUUGUUCGGAAUCACUGGGCGUAAAGCGUGCGUAGGCUGUUUCGUAAGUCGUGUGUGAAAGGCGCGGGCUCAACCCGCGGACGGCACACGAUACUGCGAGACUAGAGUAAUGGAGGGGGAACCGGAAUUCUCGGUGUAGCAGUGAAAUGCGUAGAUAUCGAGAGGAACACUCGUGGCGAAGGCGGGUUCCUGGACAUUAACUGACGCUGAGGCACGAAGGCCAGGGGAGCGAAAGGGAUUAGAUACCCCUGUAGUCCUGGCAGUAAACGGUGCACGCUUGGUGUGCGGGGAAUCGACCCCCUGCGUGCCGGAGCUAACGCGUUAAGCGUGCCG
rnacentral:rRNA from 1 species